UACGGGGGGGCAAGCGUUGUUCGGAAUUACUGGGCGUAAAGGGCUCGUAGGCGGCCAACUAAGUCAUACGUGAAAUCCCUCGGCUUAACCGGGGAACUGCGUCUGAUACUGGAUGGCUUGAGUUCGGGAGAGGAUGCGGAAUUCCAGGUGUAGCGGUGAAUGCGUAGAUAUCCGGAGGAACACCGGUGGCGAAGGCGGCUUCCUGGACCGACACUGACGCUGAGGCGCGAAAGCUAGGGGGAGCAACGG
rnacentral:rRNA from 1 species